rnacentral:rRNA from 1 species
GCAGCAGUAGGGAAUCUUCCGCAAUGGACGAAAGUCUGACGGAGCAACGCCGCGUGAGCGAAGAAGGUCUUCGGAUUGUAAAGCUCUGUUGUUAGGGGAGAACAAGUACCGCAGUAACUGGCGGUACCUUGACGGUACCUAACGAGAAAGCCACGGCUAGCUACGUGCCAGCAGCCGCGGUAAUACGUAGGUGGCAAGCGUUGUCCGGAAUUAUUGGGCGUAAAGCGCGCGCAGGCGGUCCUUUAAGUCUGAUGUGAAAGCCCACGGCUCAACCGUGGAGGGUCAUUGGAAACUGGGGGACUUGAGUGCAGAAGAGGAGAGCGGAAUUCCACGUGUAGCGGUGAAAUGCGUAGAGAUGUGGAGGAACACCAGUGGCGAAGGCGGCUCUCUGGUCUGUAACUGACGCUGAGGCGCGAAAGCGUGGGGAGCAAACAGGAUUAGAUACCCUGGCAGUCCACGCCGUAAACGAUGAGUGCUAAGUGUUAGAGGGGUUACACCCUUUAGUGCUGUAGCUAACGCAUUAAGCACUCCGCCUGGGGAGUACGCUCGCAAGAGUGAAACUCAAAGGAAUUGACGG